UCGGAUACAUUACAAAGAGAAUCGGACCUUUGUAUUUUCCUUUGAUAUUUCAUUUCUAUUUUCUGCAUCUCCUUUGCUUUCAUGUUACUUUCUUUUUCGCGGCAAUAUAAUAGAAUAGAUAUUGAUGUGAACGUUACAUAGUUCAUGAUGCAGAACUUUUUCAGUUCAUCCAAUUGGCUUGGCUCAUACGAAAAAAGUAUUGUUCAAAAUUUACAAUCUCAAUGAAUCCUUACCCAAAUCUUUUUUG
rnacentral:lncRNA from 1 species